AUACUUACCUGGCAGGGGAUACUUACCAUGGUCACAAAGGUGGUUUUCCCAGGGCGAGGCUUAUCUAUUGCACUCUGGAUGUGCUGACCCCUGCGAUUUCCCCAAAUGUGGGAAACUCAACUGCAUAAUUUGUGGUAGUGGGGGACUGUGUUCGCACUCUCACCUA
rnacentral:snRNA from 1 species